AUUGAACGCUGGCGGUAUGCUUAAGACAUGCAAGUCGAACGGUAACAGACCUUCGGGUGCUGACGAGUGGCGGACGGGUGAGUAACACGUGGGAAUCUACCUUGUAGUGGGGGAUAAGCCAGGGAAACUUGGACUAAUACCGCAUACGCCCUAAGGGGAAAGGCGCAAGUCGCUAUAAGAUGAGCCCGCGUCUGAUUAGCUAGUUGGUGAGGUAAAGGCUCACCAAGGCGACGAUCAGUAGCUGGUCUGAGAGGAUGGCCAGCCAUAUUGGGACUGAGACACGGCCCAGACUCCUACGGGAGGCAGCAGUCGGGAAUAUUGGACAAUGGGGGCGAACCCUGAUCCAGCAAUACCGCGUGUGUGAAGAAGGCCUGCGGGUUGUAAAGCACUUUUA
rnacentral:rRNA from 1 species